AUUGAACGCUGGCGGCAGGCCUAACACAUGCAAGUCGAGCGGAUGAAGGGAGCUUGCUCCUGGAUUCAGCGGCGGACGGGUGAGUAAUGCCUAGGAAUCUGCCUGGUAGUGGGGGAUAACGUCCGGAAACGGGCGCUAAUACCGCAUACGUCCUGAGGGAGAAAGUGGGGGAUCUUCGGACCUCACGCUAUCAGAUGAGCCUAGGUCGGAUUAGCUAGUUGGUGGGGUAAGGGCCUACCAAGGCGACGAUCCGUAACUGGUCUGAGAGGAUGAUCAGUCACACUGGAACUGAGACACGGUCCAGACUCCUACGGGAGGCAGCAGUGGGGAAUAUUGGACAAUGGGCGAAAGCCUGAUCCAGCCAUGCCGCGUGUGUGAAGAAGGUCUUCGGAUUGUAAAGCACUUUAAGUUGGGAGGAAGGGCAGUAAGUUAAUACCUUGCUGCUUUGACGUUACCAACAGAAUAAGCACCGGCUAACUUCGUG
rnacentral:rRNA from 1 species